rnacentral:rRNA from 1 species
GACGAACGCUGGCGGCGUGCUUAACACAUGCAAGUCGAGCGGUAAGGCCUUUCGGGGUAUACGAGCGGCGAACGGGUGAGUAACACGUGGGUGAUCUGCCCUGCACUUCGGGAUAAGCCUGGGAAACUGGGUCUAAUACCGGAUAUGACCUCCUAUCGCAUGGUGGGUGGUGGAAAGAUUUAUCGGUGCAGGAUGGGCCCGCGGCCUAUCAGCUUGUUGGUGGGGUAAUGGCCUACCAAGGCGACGACGGGUAGCCGACCUGAGAGGGUGACCGGCCACACUGGGACUGAGACACGGCCCAGACUCCUACGGGAGGCAGCAGUGGGGAAUAUUGCACAAUGGGCGAAAGCCUGAUGCAGCGACGCCGCGUGAGGGAUGACGGCCUUCGGGUUGUAAACCUCUUUCAGCAGGGACGAAGCGCAAGUGACGGUACCUGCAGAAGAAGCACCGGCUAACUACGUG